AGCAUGUCCAGUUAAAUUUGCACUUCAGGUAAACAAUGAAUUUUUAAAAUAUGAGUGAGUUCCAUACAAUAUUUGGGACAUACUUAUACCAAAAUAUUUUUCAUUGUUUAUCUGAAAUUCAAAUUUAACUGGGAUUCUUGUA
rnacentral:miRNA from 1 species